UCAAGGAGAAUAGCUGAAAUUGUUUUUUUGUUUCUAUUUAGAUUUCCAACUUCUGCUUCCCUUUUCGUCACACUCAGAAAAGUUAAGUAAAAAAUGAAAGAAAAUACAAUCUCAAAGAUCAAAACAGCUUUUAAAUAUUGUCACUAUAAUCUGUGUAUUAAAACUGGAGUGUAGGGGGAAACACCAUUCCCCCAAAAUUAAAUAAAUUCUGCAUUGCAUUUAGAGAAAGGAUGAGGGAAAUACAGCUGUCAGAUGUUCAAACCUUGAUUUCACUAUUGGGCACAGAUUAUGGUGCUCAAAGCCAAAGUGAAUAAAGCCAAAGCAAUUCCCUUGUAUCCUCCACUGCAAGGUGAGUAUAUAAAGCUGGUUUUUAAGAGCAGAGAUUCUAGCAAUAUUUUUUGCUCCUAGGAAUAUUUUAUUUUAGACCCAAGAAAAUCAAAUUAAAUAAAGUUUGUGAUGGGUUUGAUUUUCAAAGAUAAAAGAAACACAUCUUUGUGUUUUCUGUCUGCUUAAUUUAUGGAUUAGAAGUGGUCAACCAUCAGGGUGGGCUAAUGAAAAGCAAGACUGAGGGGAAAAGCUAGUGGAAGAAGAAUGGAAGAAACUGUAGAAUCUGAGAUAAACUGUCAGUGCCUCAGGCAAGAUAAACCAGAACACCACAGUGCCAAGAACAGCUAGCCUGGGGUUCAGUUCUUAGUCACAAGCAAUACAGUGAAUUGCGGUUCAUUUUUUUAAAAGAAAUUUGACUAACAUAGAAAACAAUAAUUCAGUAGGUGAACUGAAAAUAAUCACAUUGUAAGAUUUUAUAUUAAAUACAGUGAAAUAUUUUUGUCCGUACUAUAGGUCU
rnacentral:lncRNA from 1 species